rnacentral:lncRNA from 1 species
UUUACAGAGAAGGAGCUUGAGUCUCCAAGAGAGAUUCAUGAGAGGUCACACAGCUCGUAAGUAGCAGAACCAGGGCUUGGUUUGAGCCUAGCUAUUUGGCUUCAAAUUGAAGUUUCUUUCCUACACUCUCCUGCAGGCUGUCAGAAGCAUUCGUGCUCCCAGAAUUCCAGCACAUCAUGUGCAGCCAAUGGGCCCCAGAAGUUAAUUGUCAAGGUAGUGAGUGGUAGUGACCAGGAGAUGACAGCAGAGAGCUGUGGAGUCAGAAUUGUCAAAUCAGAGCUCAUGACUUUGGAGGGAAGUGAGCAGGAAGAAGAGAGCAGGGAAAAGGGGAAACUGCAUUUGGGAUUCCAGGUGAGAAGGAGGCUGGGAUGAGGAUCCUACCCAGUGAGAAUUUUAACAGCAGUUACCAGGUGUUCAGGACAAAGAAAGAAUAUAGACAGAAUGAGAAGGUGGCACAUUUGACACCAACCAGGUCCCAAGAGAAACUAAAUGCUUAUCAAACCUAAUGUGCACACAAAUCGCCUGGGAAACAGAUUGUGAUUCAAUAGGGCUGAGGGCCCAAGACUGCAUUUCCAGCCAGCUCCAAAGUAAUGCUGAUAACCACAGUGAGCACCAAAGCCAAAUGCCAAAAACCAAAAAGGAUGGCAAGAAUCAACCACAGGGGACAUCAGAGGACCACAGGUGGAGGAGAAGAGGCGAAAGUGGAAGCAACACAGAGCAGCUGACACAAAUCUUCAACUCAUUGAUGAUGGCAUCUGACUGUUCCAGGUAUUAAGAAGAGAGAAAGAAUCUGAGAAAUUAUGGCGUACUCAACUGUGGACAGCUGAAAGUCUGGCAUAGCGUGCCCUCAUCAUCACAAAUGGGCUCGCAUUACAAGCUACACUUAUUUGACAACUAUCAGCAUUUGUCAACCGGCACUCAGAUUUGAAGACUCAUUUCACAGCUGGAGCAAGAGAAGACAGGAAGGAAAAAUCAGAGUAAGGUUUCAAUGAGUUUCUGCAAAUUCUCAGAAGUUUUGCUGCCACUCAGUGUCACAAUAACAAAAAGAAAUAAAAAUAGCUGAUAUUUACUAAACAUCUACUCUGUGCCAUUUUAAGUGCUUUACAUAUAUCGGCUCAUUAAAUUUUAACAACCACAUAAGGUAGGUACUAUUGAUAGUUCCCAGUUUAUACA